UACGGAGGGGGUUAGCGUUGUUCGGAAUUACUGGGCGUAAAGCGCGCGUAGGCGGAUUAGAAAGUUGGGGGUGAAAUCCCGGGGCUCAACCCCGGAACUGCCUCCAAAACUACUAGUCUAGAGUUCGAGAGAGGUGAGUGGAAUUCCGAGUGUAGAGGUGAAAUUCGUAGAUAUUCGGAGGAACACCAGUGGCGAAGGCGGCUCACUGGCUCGAUACUGACGCUGAGGUGCGAAAGUGUGGGGAGCAAACGGC
rnacentral:rRNA from 1 species